rnacentral:rRNA from 1 species
ACGGCGAGUGAAGAGGGAAAAGCCCAAAUUUGUAAUCUGGCUCUUUUAUAGGAGUCCGAGUUGUAAUUUUGAGAACUGUUUUCUGUGCUGGACCAUAUACAAGUCUGUUGGAAAACAGCAUCAUUGAGGGUGAUAAUCCCGUAGAUGAUAUGGACUACCAGUGCAAUAUGAUACAGUCUCUAAGAGUCGAGUUGUUUGGGAAUGCAGCUCAAAGUGGGUGGUAAAUUCCAUCUAAGGCUAAAUAUAGGUGAGAGACCGAUAGCAAACAAGUACCGUGAGGGAAAGAUGAAAAGAACUUUGGAAAGAGAGUUAACAGUACGUGAAAUUGUUAAAAGGGAAACAUUUGAAGUUAGACUUGUUAUUAUUGGUUCAGCUCCUCUUUUUUAAUUAGGAGUUUAUUCCAAUGGUUGACAGACCAGCAUCAAUUUUUGAGUGUUAGAUAAGGGUCUUGGAGAAUGUGGCAACUUUGGUUGUGUUAUAGCUCCUGGCUUGAUAUAAUGCUUAAGAUUGAGGAACGCAGUGAGC